CUACGGGAUGCUCCAGUGGGGGAUAUUGCACAAUGGGCGAAAGCCUGAUGCAGCAACGCCGCGUGAAGGAUGACGGAUUUCGGUCUGUAAACUUCUAUCAGCAGGGAAGAAAAUGACGGUACCUGACUAAGAAGCCCCGGCUAACUACGUGCCAGCAGCCGCGGUAAUACGUAGGGGGCAAGCGUUAUCCGGAAUUACUGGGUGUAAAGGGUACGUAGGCGGCUGAUCAAGUCAGAUGUGAAAGCCCGGAGCUCAACUCCGGGAUUGCAUUUGAAACUGGUCGGCUAGAGUGCAGGAGAGGAAAGUGGAAUUCCUAGUGUAGCGGUGAAAUGCGUAGAUAUUAGGAAGAACACCAGUGGCGAAGGCGGCUUUCUGGACUGUAACUGACGCUGAGGUACGAAAGCGUGGGGAGCGAACAGGAUUAGAUACCCGGGUAGUC
rnacentral:rRNA from 1 species